rfam:Candidate division CPR1 bacterium GW2011_GWC1_49_13 TY40_C0008, whole genome shotgun sequence.
ACUUGACAUUCAUCUUUAGGAUUUUCUAAUCUUUAACUGGGCAAGAGCGAAGGCGGUGGAACUCCGCCACUGGGCCGCAACCGUAAAAGCCGGGCCACCUGCUUGUCAAAUGUUUGCUUC